rnacentral:rRNA from 1 species
UCUUUCAGCGCGGUGUGCAGGGAUGCCUCGGGGCUAUACUUGGGUUCUUCAGCAAUUAGAAUAAGGGGCAUCACUGAUCCACCAACGUUGGAAGCCCUAGCAUGUCGUGAAGCUCUUGCUCUGGCUACGAACCUAGCCUUAUCACAUGUGAUCAUCGCCUCUGAUUGCCAAGGAGUGGUCAAGGACAUUCACAAGCAGGAGGGAGGGAUGUAUGCAAGCAUUGUGAAGGAAAUUGUAGAGACAGCAAGAACCAUCGAUGACUGCAACUUCAUCUUCGAGGGUAGAGUUACCAAUCUUGAGGCACAUAGCCUCGCUAAGCACGCUUUCGGUCUGGAUUUUGGGCGCCAUGUGUGGCUAUUAAACCCCCCGGACCUUCGAUGUAUUCCCAUGAACAUUACUAAAGUUAUAAUAAAGUGUGUUUAG